rnacentral:rRNA from 1 species
CAAUAGCGUAUAUUAAAGUUGUUGCGGUUAAAAAGCUCGUAGUUGGAGUUCUGCCAGGUGCCGCCUGUCCGCCCCAGUGGUGAGUACGUGGCGCGCAUUUGGCCCUUUCAAGGGGAGCGUAUCUGCACUUUAUUGUGUGGUGCGGGAUCCUUGACUUUUACUUUGAGGAAAUAGGAGUGUUCCAAGCAGGCUCUCGUCGUGCACAGCUCAGCAUAGAAUAAUAGCAUUGGACCUCGAUUCUAAGCUGUUGGUUGCCAGAAGCGAGGUAAUGAUGAAGAGGGAUAGUUGGGGGCAUUCGUAUUUAACUGUCGGAGGUGAAAUUCUUGGAUUUGUUAAAGACGGACUACUGCGAAAGCAUCUGCCAUGGAUGUUUUCAUUGA